GCUUGGUUCUGGAUGCCAUCGUCCUGGAAAGCGAGGGUCUCAUCGUCCUGUACCAUUAUGUCGAGGACACCAUCAUUCUCUAUGCGAGGUGAUGUUAGGAGGAGACCCAGAGCAGAGACCAGGAGCAGUGCAGGUCAGAGUGGCCUGCUGUCCCUCAGUCAGUGGAGGAAUCUUCAGUGAGGGCCUCUGGUUUAGAGCUGAUGAAGACAUGGUGAUGUUAGGAGGAGACCCAGAGCAGAGACCAGGAGCAGUGCAGGUCAGAGUGGCCUGCUGUCCCUCAGUCAGUGGAGG